rnacentral:rRNA from 1 species
GACGAACGCUGGCGGCGUGCCUAAUACAUGCAAGUUGAGCGCUGAAGGUUGGUACUUGUACCCACUGGAUGAGCAGCGAACGGGUGAGUAACGCGUGGGGAAUCUGCCUUUGAGCGGGGGACAACAUUUGGAAACGAAUGCUAAUACCGCAUAAAAACUUUAAACACAAGUUUUAAGUUUGAAAGAUGCAAUUGCAUCACUCAAAGAUGAUCCCGCGUUGUAUUAGCUAGUUGGUGAGGUAAAGGCUCACCAAGGCGAUGAUACAUAGCCGACCUGAGAGGGUGAUCGGCCACAUUGGGACUGAGACACGGCCCAAACUCCUACGGGAGGCAGCAGGAGGGAAUCUUCGGCAAUGGACGAAAGUCUGACCGAGCAACGCCGCGUGAGUGAAGAAGGGUGUCGGAUCGUAAAACUCGGUUGGUAGAGAAGAACGUUGGUGAGAGUGGAAAGCUCAUCAAGUGACGGUAACUACCCAGAAAGGGACGGCUAACUACGUG